CACUGUCGAGGAUGAUUGUUAAAUACAAUGGGAAUCUCUCUGAAUACUCCUGAAAAGACAAACCUUUUACCUGAGACAGUG